UUUUGUCCUACGGAUCCCACGGUAAUUCCAGGACAACAUCUUCGACCAGUACCAAAAGGGAUAAAUUCAAACUCUAUUGCUUUAUAGUCAAUGGAACUACCGAGAAGUCCCUCCUUACGAAAGCUUUCUGGAUUUUCCCAAGCUUCAGGAUCCCUUUCUAUUACCGUAAACUAGAGUUUUAGCCGGAACUUCAUACUUCUGAUACAGCACCUUCGAAUUGUUUCUUGUGGGAUUAGACCUUAAUUUCAUGCACGAUCCUUCCAAACUUGUAAGAAAACAUCAAUAAUAUCUUCAUGCUCGGGUCUUGGUCUCUUUGGGUCCAUAUAUGCGUCGAUGAGUUCUAAUAAGUAAAAAGCAUCAAAGUCGUAGAACUUUUCCUCAGGCGAUCAAGUAAGCCAAUGAGUCGUCAAUCCAAACCAUGAAAGAAAAGUAGUUCAGAAAAAAAGAAGCUUGUGAAUGUUUUUUGAAUUCUAUGUCGCAUCCUAAAAUUGAAUAUUGGCACAUGAGUUAUAGGGCCAAAGUUGAAGCCUUUUGUUCAUGAGUGGACUGGUUCGUGAUGGAAAGCGUGAUGAGUCGUCUCAUCUAUAUUUGGCAAGGCACCGAAUUUCAGGUUCUCCAAAUUGUUUUUCCUUUUCUUUGUUUAGUACAUAUACAGCCACCAGCUGAUUGGGAAUUUUUUUUUUUUUAUUGUUCUUAGAAAGCAGUUUUGCUUGGCAUGGGCAUUAAUUUAAUUAAUACUCCGCCUUAAUUCGUUGUCCGUUUGCUCAGGAAGUGAUGAACCACGAUCCACAAUCUGUGAUGUAUCGAUUCCAGCUGAUUGUAUUGCCAAAGGGAGAUUAGGUAACAGUGAUUACCCUGUACAUGUAAGGAAGAUGAACAAUGACGUGAUCGAAUUCUUAUCAGAACUUAUUGUUCCAAUCUACACUUCAACAAGUUAAUUUUUACUUCCGCGUAAUUAACCAUGAGGAUUAGUAUUCUUGUAGAUCAGAAUAAUGUAAAAUUUUAAUAAUCAAAGCAAACUUUUUAUAGAGGUUGAUCAUGAGUAUAGCUUUAAUGUGAUCAAAAUUAGUGAGACAAACCAUUGUAGACACCAUUUAAUUAAUUAAUU
rnacentral:lncRNA from 1 species